rnacentral:rRNA from 1 species
CAGGGAGGUCGGCAACGACCACCCAGAGCCGGAAAGUUGGUCAAACUCGGUCAUUUAGAGGAAGUAAAAGUCGUAACAAGGUCUCCGUAGGUGAACCUGCGGAGGGAUCAUUA